rnacentral:rRNA from 1 species
CGCGUAGGCGGCCCUGCAAGUCCGAUGUGAAAUCCCUCGGCUCAACCGGGGACCCGCGUCGGAAACUGCAGGGCUUGAGUGCAGGAGAGGAGAGCGGAAUUCCCAGAGUAGCGGUGAAAUGCGUAGAUACUGGGAGGAACACCGGUGGCGAAGGCGGCUCUCUGGACUGCUUCUGACGCUGAGGCGCGAAAGCUAGGGGAGCAAACGGGAUUAGAUACCCCGGUAGUCCUAGCCGUAAACGUUGGGCACUAGGUGUGGGAGGUAUCGACCCCUUCGUGCCGCAGCUAACGCAUUAAGUGCCCCGCUGGGGAGUACGGCCGCAAGGUUGAA